UUAUGUAGAAGCCCAAAAAGCUAUCUUGCAAUAGUUGAUUCAAGUGGUUGAUUCAAGUGGUGCAAGGACGUUUUGAGAGGGGGCAACAGUGGUUAACCAUCUACAUUUUGACAUUCUCAACCGCGUUUGAACAAGACUAGGUAGAAUAAAUUUGCUGAAUUUUUGUUCUCCUCUAAAGUGUCUUUACUGCACCAUAAACCAGGCGCUCCUAGCAUUUCUCCAAUUAGUCUGCAUGUGCUGUUCAGCCCUUAACUAACAACUUUCAUGAGG